AGGGAAGGGUGCUUCAAAGCUGAGGUGUAGCUGUGCAGGGAUAAAGUAUGCUUUACUUGUCAUGUAUCAUAGGUGAAACCUCAUUCUUGUGAAUUAAAAGUACACUGGCUGAGCAGCUGUCAUUGGAUUUUAGAAACCUCAUCUGAAGGGCAUUAAUUUACUACAAGGCUUCCUAGUUACAUGGUCAGUAAUACAAAGAAGAAUGUAAGCCGGGAAGUCUGUGAUAAGAACAAUAAAAACAGCAUUUGCUCCAAGGAGCAAAACUGAAGCAGACUUCACAAACUACAGGAAGAGAAGGAAAGAAGGUAAUGUGUGUAUUCAGUUGGACACAGGGAUUUUCCCUAAAACAAUAAUUAAGACAACAAGUAACUAUGUAUGGAGAUAACUAAAGCGUAAUAGAAAACCUGAAGAAAGAAAUGGAAACGUGAUUUAAUAAGGCUCAGCAAGCAGUGCAUCUGGGGAUGAUACUGCAAGACAGAUGGUAUCCUGAACAGAUCUGUGCUCUGAAAACUCAGAUGACCCCAUUUCUUUAGAUUACCAUGCAAGGAGAUGACCCUGAAAAAGUGAGAAAGUACAGGGCUGGAAUGCUAGCUGAGUGAGCCCCAGGGACAGAAGACAGUUUGAUCCUAGCUGUCUGUUAUUUGAACACAGAUCUAAAAGAAGAUAAGGACAAAGAUCCGCUUUUCACUGCCCAACAUAUUAUAGAUGUCUUUGCAAAACAAAUGCAAAGCUUAUUGAAAGCAGUAGCAAUUACAUGUAGUUGGAUUUUACUCACUGUUAUUUUAGGAUUGAGCAACCAUGCUGAGAAAUGAAAACAAAAGUUACGUCAGAAGAAAUGACACAUAAGGCUUUAUGUUUACUUACUUAUUUUUAUAUGUAUAAAAUAUAAAAAUAACAUGUAUGUUUAUAUGGUUGGUUGUAUAGGAAAUGUGAGGUUUACAGACCAUUUGUCACUGCUGCAGCCACUGGAAUGGGCCAGCAAAUUUGUGGCCCUGUGUCUCCUUACAGCUGCUUUUUAUAUUUGGAGUAUAAACAUUGUUGGCUUCUGAAGGAUUUAUCAGUUUAGAGGACAGCUGUGGAGUGUUUAGGAGAGGACCUAAGGACAACAUAGCUUCAAAAUAAGUAUGUGUUUGGCCACUCCAUCUUCUGACACGUUAGAUACUUCUACAGAGAAAAGACUUCCAAGAAAGUAGACACCCUUCCAGGGAUCUCCUGCAAGUACUUCCUCACUCAACACCACAGGCUUUGAAGGCUUCUUUCUGUGAAUUUUUCUUGUCUAACAGAAAAAAGAAGAUAUGUGAAUGGAUGAAUGGAUGGAAUAUGUACGAUUAAAAAAAACAUUCAAAACAUUACAGGAGACACACUUUUUCCAUAAGGAAAAAAAGCCACAUGGAAAUUCCAUGAAAAGUCACAUCACUUAACAAGCUCCUGGAAGGCUCUCAGAUGUUAGAGUUGCUACAGCUAAUACCACACAGAACAGCAUAGCUGCAGCUUGCAAAUAGACAAAAACCUGAUCGUUUUGUUGACAACUUAUUUUGUUCACACAUGCAGUUAAAAUUAAAUGUAAGCACUGUCUGGUAGUUUUUGGAAGACAGAAGAAUAACAUCUAAGCGAUAGAAAACCUCUGUAGCAAGCAAGACCAGUUCUGAAUGUAAAUUUAUUUUCCAUUUGUGUAUUUUUUUUUUUACACAACAUAAAUACGUACAAAACAGUACAUAAGGAAAACCUAGGAAAUCAUGCUUAAUAUGACCUUUUCCCCCUUUGUCCUUACAGAGGAAGGCUGUCAAAUGCUCAUGAGCUUCCCAUCCAUCAUGUUUCAUAGGAGAACAGGAGACAGUAGGCAUCUUAAGCUGGUCUGUAUGGAUUCACACAGAGGGAUCUUCCUCCAACACUGUUGUGCUUAACAGCGAAGAAAAUUCCAGCUGCCCUUUUAAGAUAUCUGAGUUUUAUCUGAGGGCACACUGGUCAUAUCUGAAAGUUUUAAAAUAAACGUCAAAGUCUGUUGUAUAGUCCAGGAUCAAUUACGAAGUAUUUAUUACUUGGAAAGAUGUCUGACUUUUGCCCUUUCAUUCUGUAACAGUCACAAUCAUUUCAGCAUUCCGUUUUACAAUUUUCUUAUUUACAGCACAUUCACAAAUUCACUCUUGCAGCUGUUCCUCAUGUGAUUAUUUCUAGUAGUUGCAUUGUGGUUACCCAUACGAAUAAGGCUUAUUGUUGUGGUAUACCAUCAGAGGCUACAAAUAUGCAAAAAUUAUAAAGGGACAGGAAACUUUCAAACCCUUUAAAUAAUUUCUUCUGGGUUUGGCCAAGCAUUCUUUUGGGGUUUGCCUGGACUUUUGUUUCAUUUUGUUUAAAGAUUGCCCUGCAGCUAUUUCAAAAAGCUUAAAAACUGCUACCACCAAUUUACUUUAAAUCAGUUAAUCACAGGAGAGAAGGCAGUUUCAAAAUCUGCCAAACCCUCAGUCAAUAGAAAUUAGCAAUUAUGCAGUUAUUUUUAUUAGCUGCAUAUUGCAUAAAGAUGUGAGCAUCUGUACUUAUUAUAUUAUACAGAUUAUUUCAUGACAGUAUAUGACAUUUAUUUGUAGUAGUAUAACUGCUAUGAUUAUUUUGAGUGACAGAUGAACUGGUAAGGAAGAAAGCAUAGUAACCAAAGUUGAGUAUUUUUGAAUAUAUAUUUAUUCUGGAGAAACAAGCUCCUAAAUACGUGACUGCAAUGGAUACCGGACAAGCAUGCACUAUAAAAAAAACCCCUAUUCUGUUUUCCUUUUCUUGUCAACAGCACAUAGCAACAACUGUUUCCUAGUACCAGCAAAGAUCUCUGCUGCAUCAGUUACUCUGCCAUGGAGGUUAGAACUAUGAGCUUUUGAACUCACAUACAGUGUAAACAAUCACCACUUGAUUGCUUUGCUGAAUACAGCUUGUAUCCUAUUACUUAUUUCCCAGCUCAUGUCUUGGAACUGAUUCUAAAUCUAAAACAAGGAACACUUAUCCAAAUUCUUUGUGUAUGAAGAAGUUACCUACUCAGAUGAAAAAUGUGAGCUAUGCCAAGUUAAGGGAAUGAGCAGGCAAGUCAAUAAUGAGGGAUUUGUAGUCAUAAAGACUACUUUGCAUUACAGUGUCUGCAGGAGACCUUGUCAGUACUUUUCAUGUGCUAGGUUAUGAGCCAUUCUCUCCUUGCUGCUCUUAGUUUCAAGUGGCUGGAGAGUCACAAAUACAACCACUGCAAGAAAUGUAUUACUGGCUUGUGUAGUAAGGGAUAAUAAUAAAUGUUGUACCUGAACACUGAAGAAUUGAGGUACCAGAAUAAUUCUGUGUUUUUAAUGGGAACAUCUUUGACAACAUCAAGAAAGACUGAUUACAGAUAAGAAAUCCAGGAAUCAGCAUAUGGUCUGGCUUAGCUGGAAAUCUCUAUCACUACUGAGCAGAAAAAUCCUCUUCUAAAGGCUACAACAACCCUUAAUGCUGAUAAUAAAAGAAAGAUGUGUCCCAUGGUGUGCACUUAAGCAGCUGCUGGUGGUCAUGACAUGGGGCAUCUCUUAAGAAUCAAUAUUAUACAUUUACCUUUGCCAGGUGAAAUGCUAAUCCAAUUAAACAACAUCAAAUUCCAACAAUUCCAGGAAAACCUGCUGAUACUAGAAACUCAGUAAAUAUUGAAUUCCUAUAUGUGAUUUUCAUUUACUUUCAUGAUUUUUCCAAAGGUUCUUGUCAUGUUAUUUUAGCUCAAAUAACCUUUUGGUUUUCAUUUCUCAUGGCACCAAAUCAGUUUCUUGCUUUCAUUUCUGGAACAAACAUACACAGGUUGAUUAUUACCAUGCAUGACUCAGAAUUGCGUAAAAUUCCAGGACAUUACUUAGUUGGUCCUGAAAGUUUAAAUGUCUUUUACCUUUACCUGUUGGUAUUUAGCACCCUUACUAAGUAAUGAUUGAAUAAAACAUUUGCAAUUAUACCCAUGCAGCAUUACU